rnacentral:rRNA from 1 species
AGCGAACGCUGGCGGCAGGCCUAACACAUGCAAGUCGAACGAACCUUUCGGGGUUAGUGGCGGACGGGUGAGUAACACGUGGGAACGUGCCUUUAGGUUCGGAAUAACUCAGGGAAACUUGUGCUAAUACCGAAUGUGCCCUUCGGGGGAAAGAUUUAUCGCCUUUAGAGCGGCCCGCGUCUGAUUAGCUAGUUGGUUGAGGUAAUGGCUCACCAAGGCGACGAUCAGUAGCUGGUCUGAGAGGAUGAUCAGCCACAUUGGGACUGAGACACGGCCCAAACUCCUACGGGAGGCAGCAGUGGGGAAUCUUGCGCAAUGGGCGAAAGCAUGACGCAGCCAUGCCGCGUGAAUGAUGAAGGUCUUAGGAUUGUAAAAUUCUUUCACCGGGGACGAUAAUGACGGUACCCGGAGAAGAAGCCCCGGCUAACUUCGUG